rnacentral:rRNA from 1 species
UACGUAGGGUGCAAGCGUUGUCCGGAAUUAUUGGGCGUAAAGAGCUCGUAGGUGGCCUGUCGCGUCGGCUGUGAAAACUCGGGGCUCAACUCCGAGCUUGCAGUCGAUACGGGCAGGCUAGAGUUCGGCAGGGGAGACUGGAAUUCCUGGUGUAGCGGUGGAAUGCGCAGAUAUCAGGAGGAACACCGGUGGCGAAGGCGGCGCUCUGGGCCGGUACUGACGCUGAGGAGCGAAAGCGUGGGUAGCAAACAGG